GUUUUUACUCAUCUUUUGUUGCGGAAGGAAACACUGAUCCGAAUGAUUUGCAAGCUCUUCAGGUCUUGUAUGCUUCACUGAAUAAUCCUUCACAGCUCUCUAAUUGGAAGUCGAAUGGUGGCGAUCCCUGUGGUGAGUCUUGGAAAGGAAUCACUUGUCAGGCCUCUUCUGUUGUUUCAAUUCAAAUUCCUGAUUUGGGACUCAAUGGAACGUUGGGAUACAUGCUAAAUGGUCUUACCUCGUUAAAGAACUUGGAUUUGAGCGGCAACAACAUUCAUGAUUCUAUUCCAUAUCAGCUUCCACCCAAUCUCACUAGCCUGAAUCUUGCAAACAACAAUAUAAGUGGCAACAUUCCGUAUUCCUUUGCUGGCAUGGUUACACUUAGCUAUCUGAAUCUUAGCCAUAACUCACUCUCUCAAACAAUUGGAGAAUUGUUCAGCAACCACUCUGAUCUGGGAACCUUGGAUCUGUCCUCAAAUAAUUUUUCUGGAGAUCUCCCCUCUUCAUUCAGUUCGUUGACAAAUCUUUCCACACUUCAUCUGGAAAACAAUCAGCUAAGUGGCCCUCUCAAUAUCCUGAUUGAUCUACCUUUGACUAAUUUAAAUGUUGCAAAGAAUCAUUUUAAUGGAUGGAUCCCAAAUGAGCUCCUAUCUAUCCCCAACUUCAUAUACGAUGGGAAUUCCUUUGCAAAUGGUCCAGCUCCUCCCCCACCACCAUACACUGCACCUCCUCCUGGAAGAUCUCGCCACAACCGUAGCCAUUCUCCUCCUAGUUCACGUACAAGACCAGGUUCUGAUGGCCCCCCAUCUCCAGAAAAUGGUGAUAAAAAGAAGGGAUUGACAACUGGAGCUAUCGUUGGCAUAGCUCUUGGAUCUUCUCUUGCAAUUCUUUUUGCUCUGGUAGCACUUGUAUUUUGCUUCCGGAGGGGCAAGGGCAAGGAAAUUGCUACAAGACCCUCUACAGGAAGUCUUCCAGUUGGCACAGAUAAAGUGAAUAUGGAGGUACAAGAGCAAAGGGCGAAGCCUGUGGUUGCUGUUGCUGACUUGAAGCCCCCACCUACCGAAAAGGUGACUGUUGAAAUGAUACAAGGAAAGAAUGGAUCUGUCAGGAGAGUGAAGUCUCCAAUAACUGCAUCUGCUUAUACUGUUGCUGCAUUGCAAACAGCAACAAACAGCUUCAGUCAAGAAAAUCUCAUUGGUGAAGGAUCUCUUGGGCGUGUUUAUAGGGCAGAGUUUCCUAAUGGGAAGAUAAUGGUCAUAAAAAAGAUCGACAGUGCAGCACUGUCGCUGCAGGAGGAAGAUAACUUUCUCGAAGCUGUCUCAAAUAUGUCAAGGCUGAGACACCCAAACAUUGUUCAAUUGAUAGGAUAUUGUGCUGAGCAUGGACAGCGUCUUCUGGUUUAUGACCAUGUUGCAAAUGGUAGCUUGCAUGAUAUGCUGCACUUUGCUG
rnacentral:misc_RNA from 1 species